rnacentral:lncRNA from 1 species
GAAAGCUGAAAAUUUAAACUGUCGACGCCAUACGGCCGUGUGUUGGACUGUGUGUCUCACACAGUCUGAGCCAAUUGGGCCGUGUGGGCCACACGGGCAUGUGAACCCAAAAUCUGAAAGAUUUUCCUAAGGUCAUAAACGUCAUUCGGAUUGAAUGUAGGUCUUCUGUAGGGUCUGUAUGUUAUAAAUUAGACUAUAAAACAUGA